rnacentral:rRNA from 1 species
UUUAUGAAGGGUAUGAUCUUGGCUCAGAACGAACGCUGGCGGCGUGGAUUAGGCAUGCAAGUCGAACGAGGGAGUGCCUCGAAAGGGGCGCAAACCGAGUGGCGUAAGGGUGAGUAAUGCAUUGAUAACCUGCCUUUGAGAUGGGAAUAACAACGUUCCAAGCAAUUGGGGCUACCGAAAGGGUUGCUAAUACCCAAUAAAACUAUUGCUGCUAUUGGUAGUAAUAGUCAAAUAAAUGGGGUCGAAAGAUUUCAUUUGCUCGAAGAGGGGUCAAUGUCCUAUCAGCUAGUUGGUAGAGUAAUAGCCUACCAAGGCAAAGACGGGUAGCCGGCCUGAGAGGGUGGUCGGCCACACUGGGACUGAGACACUGCCCAGACUCCUACGGGAGGCUGCAGUCGAGAAUCUUUCGCAAUGC